ACUGGGUGUGGUGGUGUGCGCCAGUUGUCCCAGCUACUUGGGAGGCUGAGACAGGAGGAUCUGUUGAGCCCAGGAGGUCUGGGCUGUAGAGCAGUAUGCCAAUUGGGUGUCCACACUAAGUUCAGUAUCAGUGUGAUGACCUCCUGGAAGCAAGGACCACCAUGUUGCCUAAGGAGGGGUGAACUGGCCCAGGUUGGAAACAGAGUAGGUCAAAACUCCCAUGCUGAUCAGUAGUGGGAUAGUGCCUGUGAAUAGCCGUUACACUCCAGCCUGGGCAAUGAAAAAAAAGUGUGUCU
rnacentral:SRP_RNA from 10 species